GAUGAACGCUGGCGGCGUGCCUAAUACAUGCAAGUCGAGCGAACAGAUAAGGAUCUUGCUCCUUUGACGUUAGCGGCUGACGGGUGAGUAACACGUGGUUAACCUACCUAUAAGACUGGAAUAACUCCGGGAAACCGGUUCUAAUGCCGGAUAACAUUUAGAACCGCAUGGUUCUAAAGUGAAAGAUGGUUUUGCUAUCACUUAUAGAUGGACCCGCGCCGUAUUAGCUAGUUGGUAAGGUAACGGCUUACCAAGGCAACGAUACGUAGCAGACCUGAGAGGGUGAUCGGACACACUGGAACUGAGACACGGACAAGAAGACUACGGGAGGCAGCAGUAGGGAAUAUGCCGAAAGGGGGGAAAGAAUGACGGAGAAACGACGCGUGAGUGAUGAAGGACUUAGGAUCGUAAAACGCUGUUAUUAGGGAAGAAAAAAUGUGUAAGUAACUGUGCACGUAUUGACGGUAACUAAUCAGAAAGCCACGGCUAACUACGUG
rnacentral:rRNA from 1 species